GGCUUUGAUGGUGUAGUGGUAGCACACGCUCCCACUAUGGGUGAAGCGUGGGUUAAAUUCUCACUGAAUUCG